UCCCUGAUAGUUCAGUUGGUAAAGAAUCUGCCCGCAAAGCAGAAGAUCCCAGUUCAAUUUCUGAGUUAGGAAG
rnacentral:tRNA from 1 species